GACAGAGGUGGCAAGCGUUGUUCGGAUUCAUUGGGUGUAAAGGGCAGGUAGGUGGCUGGGUAAGUCUGAUGUGAAAUCCCACGGCUCAACCGUGGAACUGCAUUGGAAACUGCUCGGCUUGAGUACCGCAGAGGUAAGGGGAAUUCCCGGUGUAAGGGUGAAAUCUGUAGAUAUCUGGAGGAACACCGGUGGCGAAGGCGGCAUCCUGGACCGGUAUUGACGCUGAGGCGCGAAAGCCAGGGGAGCAAACGGG
rnacentral:rRNA from 1 species